rnacentral:rRNA from 1 species
UACGGAGGGGGCUAGCGUUGUUCGGAAUUACUGGGCGUAAAGCGUACGUAGGCGGCUUUGUAAGUUAGAGGUGAAAGCCCGGGGCUCAACUCCGGAAUUGCCUUUAAGACUGCAUCGCUUGAAUCAUGGAGAGGUGAGUGGAAUUCCGAGUGUAGAGGUGAAAUUCGUAGAUAUUCGGAAGAACACCAGUGGCGAAGGCGGCUCACUGGCUCGGUACUGACGCUGAGGUGCGAAAGCGUGGGGAGCAAACAGG